GACGAACGCUGGCGGCGUGCUUAACACAUGCCAGUCGAACGGUGAAGGGACCGGUUUUUGCUGGUUCUGGAUGAGUGGCGAACGGGUGAGUAACACGUGAGUAACCUGCCCCCUUCUUCUGGAUAACCGCAUGAAAGUGUGGCUAAUACGGGAUAUUCUGCGCCUGCUGCAUGGUGGGUGUGGGAAAGAUAUUGUUUCGGUGGGGGAUGGGCUCGCGGCCUAUCAGCUUGUUGGUGGGGUGAUGGCCUACCAAGGCGGUGACGGGUAGCCGGCCUGAGAGGGUGGACGGUCACACUGGGACUGAGACACGGCCCAGACUCCUACGGGAGGCAGCAGUGGGGAAUAUUGCACAAUGGGCGCAAGCCUGAUGCAGCGACGCCGCGUGAGGGAUGGAGGCCUGCGGGUUGUAAACCUCUUUCGCCAGUGAAGCAGGCCUGUCCCUUUUGUGGGUGGGUUGACGGUAGCUGGAUAAGAAGCGCCGGCUAACUACGUG
rnacentral:rRNA from 1 species